UGGUCAGUAGAGGGCCUUCAUUUUACAUAAAGUUAGAAAAUAUAAACAAAGACACAAUCAGCAGAACGAUCUACUCCUGCUCAAAUUACCAACACACACCACCCCCUUCCCUUGUGGCCCUCCCAUUUCUCUUUUUUUUUUUUUUUUAAGCAUUGAUCUACAACUAGUACCCUCAGAAUUCCCUUGAAACAAGAUUCUCGUGAAAAUCAAAUCAAGAUGGAACAGAAAAAAAAUGGUAGAGAUUAUUCAUACUUCUGGCCUGAAUUCUUUUAGGUAUUUGGCAUUUCUCUUCUUAAAAGAGCUCAAAAUUGCUUCUGAAUAUUGAUUUGCACCAACAAUACCCAUGUGAAGAAUAGUGGAGGUAACGAAUCACUCAGUGUUAGAUCCAGGAAUACUGAGUCAUAGAAAAAAACACAAUUGUACCUUACCUUAACUGUGGAUUCUCAAGAAGUUUUUUAUUAUGCUUUAGUAAACUGAAUCAUUUUAAAUACACUAAGAGGUCUGUAUGUUUAGGAGCACGUUACAGCGGAUUAUAGAAAGUGAUCAAGCACAGUAUUUCAGGGUUGCUUAGUGUUCUGAUUGAUUUGUUCUGUGAGUCUGGAAUUUAGAAUGUGUCUCUUGGAUUUAUAAGAUGGCUGCUCCUUUCUGUGCUACAGGGGAUGACUUCACACCCAUGGUGGAGGCUGAGCCCUUGCUGGAGACCAACCAAGCUGAGAUCAGGAUCUGAUAAACAUCUCAAAGCAGGGCCAAGUUUUGACUUUAUGGAUCGAACAUAUUCCCUUGUGCUGUGCUCUGGGGAGGGUAAGUUCUCACAUUCUGGGGCUUUUGGGGAGCUGUAUGUCUAUCUGUAUCUAAAUCUAUGUUAUCAUCUACAUGUCUGUCUGCUCCCUCUUAUCUGACACCUGUUUCCUCAAUCUCCCCAGUCUUUCUCUCAAAAUCCUCUUUACUCAUUACUCUCAACUUCCCGCUAUCAGUCAUCUCCACUCCUCCUCCUAAGAGAAAGGAGUCGUAAAUCCCUGGCCCCUUCAUAUAGCUUAAAAACCCUAGCAGUUCAGAAUUUGGACACAGGCUAAUACAUAUUUUCCUAUACCCAGAUUUUUCUGGCACUAGAUAGGACAAGGAUGGGUUUAAGGAAAUGGUUAUGCUCUGAUUCUGGUUCUGUUUAUUUACUAGAGAGAUCUGUAGCUGGUUGACCUAAGAUCUUGUCAGAUUUAUUUUCUUCCUGGGAAAACAGUCUAGUCUCUUGAGGAAGUCCUGUGACUUGAUUAACAUAAUUUUGAACAAACUCCUUAUAAAAUCACUUCUUGGGAAAUAGUUACUGAGCAUUUGUUUCCUUCCUGAGUUUAUUUAUUCGACCAGAGGCCCCCAUGUUGCAGAAAACAGCUCUUACCUGUCCAGAGUGGAUGGAUUCUCACUCGUAACAAAAUGUCCACGUAACUGGUGUGGGGAGCUGGAGAAGAGUUCUCAGUUUGUCCUUUCCUAUAUGUGAUGCUAUGGCCCCCUUCAACUCCUUAGAGUAUAACAGGCCAUUUUGUUUUAAAGUUUCAAAUUGGCCCCUUGUGAACCCCCAAGUGCAGAUGAGCAGGAACUUGAGCUUCUCCAGGGAUCAACCAUUUGUUUAAGAAGUCAAGGACUUAAUCUACAGAGACCAGUCCUGUUUGUGGUCCUUUGUCAGAAUAAGCGCAGAAUCUAAUCAGUUUGCUGUCAGGGCCCUAUUGUCCUAGAUCCUGGUUGCCAUUGUUUUGGGGCUGUGAGGAAGGCAUUGGUGAUGCAGAUAGCUGCAAAAGACACAGGGUUCUUUGUGAGCAAGUGGCCCCGUCUCUUUAGUGUCCUGCUUGGCCAGGGAUGUGACAUCUUGGGCUCCUCUGGUUACAGCCCUUCAGGUGAUAUUUAUUAUGCUAAGCCACCCCUUUGGGCAUUGUUGGUCGACCACUCACCCUCAUUUCAUUCCUCUUUUGCUAUGCUCUAGCAUCCUUUCUUUUCUAUUCCUAGAACCUGUAAGACUUAUUGGCUCCUUAGAAUAUUCGCACAAAUGAUUCCUCUGCCUGGAAAGAUUUUACCCCUCAUAUUUGUAUUGCUGGCUCAUUGUCACUGAGAUCCCUGAUGUCAUGCAUGGCAGAACUCUACUUUAAUUCUCUGCGUUUAUCACCAUCUAACUUGUGUGUUUGCUGGUUUGUUAUUUUCUACCUACUUCUCCCUGUAGAAGGUAAGCUCCUUGGGAGUCCAGACAUAAUGUGUCUUUUAAAAUUCUGUAUUCUCAGUUCAUAGAACAGUGGUUGGUAUACAAUAGUAAUUAUUAGCCAUUUUUAAAAACCAACUGGAAAUGAAGAGAAGGGGCAGAAAAUUUAUGGAAUUAUAUUUAUAGGAGAAUAAUUUUUUGUAAUUUCUCUAAAUAAAUAUUCUUGUCUUCCUCCA
rnacentral:lncRNA from 1 species